AUACGGAGGAUCCGAGCGUUAUCCGGAUUUAUUGGGUUUAAAGGGUGCGCAGGCGGCCAUUUAAGUCAGCGGUUAAAUCGUGGGGCUCAACCCCAUUCUGCCGUUGAUACUGGGUGGCUUGAUUGCGGUCGAGGUUGGCGGAAUUCGUUGUGUAGCGGUGAAAUGCAUAGAUAUGACGAAGAACACCGAUUGCGUAGGCAGCUGACCAGACCGCAAAUGACGCUCAUGCACGAAAGUGCGGGGAUCGAACAGGAUUAGAUACCCUGGUAGUCCGCACAGUAAACGAUGAAUACUUGUUUUCGGCGAUAUAAUGUCGGAGGCAAAGCGAAAGCGAUAAGUAUUCCACCUGGGGAGUGCGCCGGCAACGGUGAAACUCAAAGGAAUUGACGGGG
rnacentral:rRNA from 1 species